rnacentral:rRNA from 1 species
UACAGAGGGUGCAAGCGUUGUUCGGAAUUACUGGGCGUAAAGCGCGUGUAGGCGGUUUAGCAAGUCAGACGUGAAAUCCCUAGGCUUAACCAAGGAAUGGCGUCUGAUACUGCUAAGCUAGAGUGUCGGAGGGGAUGGCGGAAUUCCCGGUGUAGAGGUGAAAUUCGUAGAUAUCGGGAGGAACACCUGUGGCGAAGGCGGCCAUCUGGAAGACAACUGACGCUGAGACGCGAAAGCGUGGGGAGCAAACAGG